GCACAAGCGGUGGAGUAUGUGGUUUAAUUCGACGCAACGCGCAGAACCUUACCUGGUCUUGACAUCCCGGGAAUCUUUCUGAAAGGAGAGAGUGCCUCGCAAGAGGAGCCUGGAGACAGGUGCUGCAUGGCUGUCGUCAGCUCGUGUCGUGGGAUGUUGGGUUAAGUCCCGCAACGAGCGCAACCCUUGUCAUUAGUUGCCAUCAUUUGGUUGGGCACUCUAAUGAGACUGCCGGUGACAAACCGGAGGAAGGUGGGGAUGACGUCAAGUCCUCAUGGCCCUUAUGGGUAGGGCUUCACACGUCAUACAAUGGUCGGUACAGAGGGUUGCCAACCCGCGAGGGGGAGCUAAUCCCACAAAGCCGAUCGUAGUCCGGAUCGCAGUCUGCAGCUCGACUGCGUGAAGUCGGAAUCGCUAGUAAUCGUGGAUCAGCAUGUCACGGUGAAUACGUUCCCGGGUCUU
rnacentral:rRNA from 1 species